rnacentral:rRNA from 1 species
GAUGAACGCUGGCGGCGUGCCUAACACAUGCAAGUCGAACGGAAAGCAUUCUUCGGAAUUCUUUCAGUGGCGGACGGGUGAGUAACGCGUGGGUAACCUGCCCCAUACAGGGGAACAACAGCUGGAAACGGCUGCUAAUACCGCAUAAGCGCACAGUACUGCAUGGUACAGUGUGAAAAGAUUUUAUCGGUAUGGGAUGGACCCGCGUCUGAUUAGCUAGUUGGAGGGGUAACGGCCCACCAAGGCGACGAUCAGUAGCCGACCUGAGAGGGUGACCGGCCACAUUGGGACUGAGACACGGCCCAAACUCCUACGGGAGGCAGCAGUGGGGGAUAUUGCACAAUGGGCGAAAGCCUGAUGCAGCGACGCCGCGUGAGUGAGGAAGUAUUUCGGUAUGUAAAGCUCUAUCAGCAGGGAAGAUAAUGACAGUACCUGACUAAGAAGCCCCGGCUAACUACGUGCCAGCAGCCGCGGUAAUACGUAGGGGGCAAGCGUUAUCCGGAUUUACUGGGUGUAAAGGGAGCGCAGACGGUUAUGCAAGUCUGAAGUGAAACCCCACGGCUCAACCGUGGGCUUGCUUUGGAAACUGUAUAACUAGAGUACUGGAGAGGUAAGCGGAAUUCCUGGUGUAGCGGUGAAAUGCGUAGAUAUUAGGAGGAACAUCGGUGGCGAAGGCGGCUUACUGGACAGCAACUGACGUUGAGGCUCGAAGGCGUGGGGAUCAAACAA